rnacentral:rRNA from 1 species
UUGGAGGGCAAGUCUGGUGCCAGCAGCCGCGGUAACUCCAGCUCCAAUAGCGUAUAUUAAAGUUGUUGCAGUUAAAAAGCUCGUAGUUGAACUUCGGGAUCAAUGGAUCGGUCAUGCCGUUGGUAUGUACUGGUCACAUUGGUUCUCACCUUCUAAGGAACCAUGAUGUCAUUCAUUUGAUGUUGUGGGGAAUUAGGACUGUUACCUUGAAAAAAUUAGAGUGUUUAAAGCAGGCUAACGCUUGAAUACAUUAGCAUGGAAUAAUGAAAUAGGACAUCGCAUUCUAUUUUGUUGGUUUCUAGGAUCGAUGUAAUGAUUAAUAGGGAUAGUUGGGGGCAUUAGUAUUCAAUUGUCAGAGGUGAAAUUCUUGGAUUUAUUGAAGACUAACUACUGCGAAAGCAUUUGCCAAGGAUGUUUUCAUUAAUCAAGAACGAAAGUUAGGGGAUCGAAGACGAUCAGAUACCGUCGUAGUCUUAACCAUAAACUAUGCCGACUAGGGAUCGGAUGAUGUUGAUUUUUUAAUGACUCAUUCGGCGCCUUACGGGAAAC